UACGGGGGGGGCAAGCGUUGUUCGGAAUUACUGGGCGUAAAGGGCGCGUAGGCGGUUUGCUAAGUUGGAUGUGAAAACUCUGGGCUUAACUCAGAGCCUGCAUCCAAAACUGGCAAACUUGAGUACUGGAGGGGAAAGCGGAAUUCCUGGUGUAGCGGUGAAAUGCGUAGAUAUCAGGAGGAACAUCGAUGGCGAAAGCGGCUCACUGGACCACAACUGACGCUGAUGCACGAAAGCUAGGGGAGCAAACGG
rnacentral:rRNA from 1 species